UUGUCCUACGGGAGGCAGCAGUGAGGAAUAUUGGUCAAUGGGCUUACGCCUGAAUCAGCCAAGUCGCGUGCGGGAAGACUGCCAUAUGGGUUGUAAACCUCUUUUGUCAGGGAGCAACGCCGGCUACGUGUAGCCGGACUGAAAGUACCUGAAGAAAAAGCAUCGGCUAACUCCGUGCCAGCAGCCGCGGUAAUACGGAGGAUGCGAGCGUUAUCCGGAUUUAUUGGGUUUAAAGGGUGCGUAGGCGGAAUGCCAAGUCAGCGGCAAAAUCGCGGGGCUCAACCUCACUCCGCCGUUGAAACUGG
rnacentral:rRNA from 1 species